rnacentral:tRNA from 1 species
GUGGCUCAGUGGUAGAGCGCUUGCCUUGCAAUCAUGAGGCCCUGGGUUCAAUUCCUCAGC